rnacentral:lncRNA from 1 species
AUGUACUUACAUGUGUAUGUAUUUUAUAUUUAUCUAGGGGUCUUUCAUAGAAUACAAGCUCCUCAAGGGCAGGAACUGUGUUAUUUUUGGUCUAUGUGCCCAUGUCUUAAUAAUAACGUACCUAUCUAUCGGAGAUACUGCAUCUUUAGGGGAAUCAAAUCCCAGAUGAUCCAUUGGUCCAGCAGAUCUGGAUGCUUCUCAUUUGCAGAGUUGCCAAUUCCCUUGGCCAUUGCAAGCACUAUAGUCUCCUGA